GGCUGUGAGGGCAAUCUGGCUGCAACAUCUGUCACCCCAUUGAUCACCAGGGUUGAUUUGGCUAGCUAGGCAAGUGUUCCCUUCCUCCCUCACCACUCCAUGUGUUUUCCUUGUGCCUCCCUCCAGAAGCUGCGUGCUCUGUUGAAGAGGAUGACCUUCACUGAACAAAGGAGGACCAGUCUUUGUUCAAGGGUAUACAAGAAGCUGUGCUUCCCUGCUAGAACCUCCAAAUAAGCUCUGAAGGCUCCAUGCUUUGCUGCAGAGAUAUUUGCUCCGAUAUAUUUACAGAUUCUCAAUUCACAAGAGCUAAGAACUGG
rnacentral:snRNA from 1 species